GAUGAACGCUGGCUACAGGCUUAACACAUGCAAGUCGAGGGGAAACGACGUGGAAGCUUGCUUCCCCGGGCGUCGACCGGCGCACGGGUGAGUAACGCGUCUCCAACCUGCCUCUGACUGAGGGUUAACCCGUCGAAAGUCGGCCUAAUACCGCAUGGCAUCGUCUGCGGGCAUCCAGCGACGAUUAAAGAUUUCAUCGGUCAGGGAUGGGGAUGCGUCUGAUUAGCUUGUUGGCGGGGUAACGGCCCACCAAGGCGUCGAUCAGCAGGGGUUCGGAGGGGAAGGUCCCCCAGAUGGGAACCGGGACACGGACCAAACUGCUACGGGAGGCAGCAGUACGGAAGAUGGGUGAAGGGGAGGGAGCCUGAACCAGCGAAGUAGCGUGCAGGAUGACGGCGCUAUGGGUGGUAACCUGCUGUUAUGCGGGGACAAAGUGAGGGGAGUGUCCUUCAUUGCAGGUACCGGAUGAAUAAGCACCGGCUAAUUCCGUG
rnacentral:rRNA from 1 species